ACCCAGCAAUAGUGUUUUCUUUCAUCCUAGGUCUCAUCUAUCCAGUCUCUAAUUCUUGAUCACCCAAGUAAUCUCAGGUUUGGGUUCUAUCUGGUAGAGUGGGCUUUAAUUCAAAUUGGUUAUCGAUUUGUUAAUCCCACAGAUAGAUUAAUUAAUUAAUUAAUUAAAAAAUUCCAGUGCAUUAACGUAUUUUGCAGGCAGGACAUUGCUGUAGAACAAAGAGUUAGUGGCUAGCUUGGUGGUCCUGUUUUUAUCUAGAAAACAAGCAUAGUUGAGUAAAUUGGCGUUGCUUAAAAGACUCGAGAAACCCAACACUCACCAGAGAAGCAUCCUCUUGCAGGAGAUGGCAAUUAUAAACUCACACAACUUGAACAAGGCCAGCGCAAGCCAGACAGAACCUGAACAUGGUGGAUACAAGGAUGCAAACUCUCUGCAAGCAAAAAGCUAAUCAUGACUAUUCUACCUGCAACGUCUAGAAUUAGGGCCUCAUCUAUGGCAACUAUAGAAUGUAUAGAAUGUAUACUUGUAAAAAUAUCUCAGCAGAGUCAAUAAAGGAUGCUAUGCUGAAAAGUGAGAAUGUUCCGCUUUGUGGUUCAUUUCUGUGAUGAAGAAGACCACACAAAAUAACCCUUCCCAGCUGCAUCCUCUGAAUGGAUCGCCAAAGUGACUAUCUUUUUCUGUUACAAGUGCUACAGUCCCUCAAGUAACAUUACCACAGAUUCAUCAGCCAGCCUGAGACAGUAAAUAAAGGAGAGUGAAACAUCCCUGGGGACAUGGAGUCUUGACUCUGGUUUGAAUGGUAUAUCAUUCUGAGGAUUCA
rnacentral:lncRNA from 1 species